rnacentral:lncRNA from 1 species
CCUGGCCAGGAUGCUUAUUGCCAAGUGCCCAUCCCUGAAGUGUGAACAAGGUGGAAUGGGACUGAAGAGUUCUAAGGAGGAAGAAGGAGAGGAUGAGACCUCAUUUCAUCAGAGCAAACAGUCUGAUCAGAAAUUUGAAAGACUUCCUCUGAACAUCAGCACACUGCAAAUGAGAAAUACAAAAGGAUUUUGUUGAAAGGAAAGCCUCCAUGUUUUUAUUCCCCUUUAAUGUACUUCAACUUGAGUAGGAAAUUUCAGCAAUGCAUGGGAUAAGUGACUCAAAUUUCUUGAGGCAGGAGAAACAAAGGUAAGUCACUGGAAACAUUAAGUAAAACAGUUUGACAAUCUGAGAGAAUUUGG